rnacentral:rRNA from 1 species
AACAGGAUUAGAUACCCUGGUAGUCCACGCCCUAAACGAUGUCUACUAGUUGUUGGUGGAGUAAAAUCCAUGAGUAACGCAGCUAACGCGUGAAGUAGACCGCCUGGGGAGUACGGUCGCAAGAUUAAAACUCAAAUGAAUUGACGGGGGCCCGCACAAGCGGUGGAUUAUGUGGAUUAAUUCGAUGCAACGCGAAAAACCUUACCUGGCCUUGACAUGUAACGAACUUUCCAGAGAUGGAUUGGUGCUCGAAAGAGAACGUUAACACAGGUGCUGCAUGGCUGUCGUCAGCUCGUGUCGUGAGAUGUUGGGUUAAGUCCCGCAACGAGCGCAACCCUUGCCAAUAAUUGCCAUCAUUUAGUUGGGCACUUUAUUGGGACUGCCGAUGACAAAUCGGAGGAAGGUGGGGAUGACGUCAAGUCCUCAUGGCCCUUAUGGCCAGGGCUUCACACGUAAUACAAUGGUCGGUACAGAGGGUUGCCAAGCCGCAAGGUGGAGCCAAUCCCAGAAGGCCGAUCGUAGUCCGGAUUGAGGUCUGCAACUCGACCUCAUGAAGUCGGAAUCGCUAGUAAUCGCGGAUCAGCAUGUCGCGGUGAAUACGUUCCCGGGCCUUGUACACACCGCCCGUCACACCAUGGGAGUGGGUUUUACCAGAAGUAGGUAGUCUAACCGCAAGGAGGACGCUUACCACGGUAGUAUUCAUGACUGGGGUGAAGUCGUAACAAGGUAACC